GCGUUGCUGGCUGGAACUGGCAGACGCGGUCGGCUCAAACCCGGCUGGGGUAAAACCCGUCCCGGUUCGAAUCCGGGGUGACGCACCA
rnacentral:tRNA from 1 species